AAGACCAGUUCUAAGGGAUUUCCCUAGUUCAUUCCUGAUCUUUCUUUUCCUAACUCUCGUCUCCAUUUAAGACUUUAAGUCUUUUUUUCUAAAUUUAUUUAUUUAUUUAUUUCCUUUUUAUUUAUUUAUUUAUUUUUCCUGCUCUACAGCUUGGGGACCAAGUUACACAUACAUGUAUACAUACUUUUUCCUCCCAUUGUUGUGUUUCAAUGUAAGUAUCAAGACAUAGUUCCCAAGACUACAUGGCAGGAUCUCAUUGUAAAUCCAUCUCUUAAAGUCUUAAAUUCUCCAGCCAUUAAGUCUUCUCCCAAUAGGGUGUUCCGGAAUCUGAACCUAGUGGCCCAGAAGGAACGCCCAGUAUGUGUGUUAUAAGGUGGAGUGAUGUGUGUGUCUGCAGGUUUGUACCAGAGCCAGCAGUAAGGACUGGAAAGGGCAAGACUUUGCACGACGUCUUUUCAACAAUCCAGCGAAACCAGGAGAGGGAGUUCCAGUUGUGGCUCAGUGGUAACGAACCGGACUAGUACCCAUGAGGAUGCAAGUUUGAUCCUUGGCCCCAUUCAGUGGGUUAAGGAUCUGGUGUUCCCAUGAGUGGUGUGGGUCGCAGAUGUGGCUGGGAUCCCGAGUUGCUGUGGCUCUGGUGUAGGCCAGUGGCUACUGCUCUGAUUAGACCCCUAGCCUGGGAACCUCCAUAUGCCAUGAGUGGGGCCCUAAAAAGCAAAAAAUGAAACAAAACAAAACAAAAACCAAACCAAAACAAACGAACAGAACAGGAGAGAAGGGGGUACCUGCUGUGACCCAGAAUCCCUCUCAUGCUGUGGUCCUCUUCCUCCACCUCUUAUGUGGUGUGGGUUAAGGGGAGAAUUGUCACAGGAUAUCACCCUACUGUCCCAUCUUCCCUGUGCUCCUAUCCCCACCCAACUCCAAAUACUUCUCUAAGCCACUCAAACCCACAGGAGUAGGAAAGGGGUGCGUUGUUUGGGGGAGGGGCAGUCCCACGUGCCCCAUCUGGGGGAAAGGGCUGACUUUUUGGACCUGAGCCUAAGCGCUUUCUGUCCAUGCCAAGGGCUGCCUCCUGCAUCUGGGCCUGUGGGGUUAGAAGAGCUGCCAAAAUCCUGAACUGGGCAAUGACAGUGGACAGCCUAGAUCUUGGCCACUGACUCUGCCUCAGCCCUAGGGUCAUUCGGGACGUCUCUGGAGUUCCUUCCCCCCGCCAGGCCCUGGAACAGCCAUCCAGGCUCUGAAGUAGACUUGAGAAAGGCAUAAAGAAACCCCACAAGUCCCCUGUUUCAACCUAAAAGCCCUUCCAGGGGCAGGAACCCCAAGUGAGUGAAAAAGUACAAUUCACCAUUAAGCGGGAGUGUGGAGAAUCCCAUCCAGGGCUGUUUCUGGAUGGGACUUGCCCCCAACACUUGCAGUGCAGCCAACAGGAGUUGUUUGUUUGCAGGUGGUAUUUGUCCUUAAAAGACGAAGCCUGAAACCCUUUGCCUCCUUGUUCCAGAGAUCCAUUCGGCCCUAAACAGCCAGCCUUCCUUCCAGGAUUGCCUGUAGCCCUGAGCAACAGGUGGCUUAUUUCAGGCUGAAGGACAAGAGGCCUACUACCCCUGUGCCAAGGACGUCCCGCGGGGUCCUCACCUUUGAGCCCCGCCCACCAACCAAUGAGGACUCACAGAGGUGACGUCACUACAUCCUGUUUCCCAGCCCAGCCGGGAGCAUGGGACCCGGUGGGGAAAAGAGCCAAUGUAAAUGACGGAUGCCACGACCAUGUUGGUAAAGACGUGGAAGGCAAAUGAGUCAGCAGCAAGUUUAAGCAACGAACAAUUGCACCACGGGGUGUUUCUCAAAUUCUUGUCUACUUUUAGAAAGUAUGCAAUGCCAUCCGGUUGAGCGUCUUGGUUCUGAAAUAGCUACAGAAAAUGUUAAAAAUGCUGUGGGUGAAGAUGUGCCCACAUGUAUCGCUCUUCUAAAACAAUAGUUAACAAUGGCACAGCGUGUCCUCGGCACAUCUUUUCAUCUUGCUGUACCUUAGUUUCCUCACCCGGAACAUGAGCGGAAUGUGUGCACAUUGUCUUGGGAGAUUCCUUUCGGUCUGACGGUCCAUGAUAUGGUAUCAUGCUCACAGUCUUAAUACUCAGACUGGGUCUACACAGUGCCAAGACCACUAGCCAGUUCAGUGAGUGUGGACAAAAUGUUCUCUCCAAUCAAUUCCUUGGCACCAUGUGGCUAAAACAGCCAGGCCUAUGUGUGAAUAGAGAUGGUGGGAGUAUAAGAAAAAGGACAACUCAUUAUUGAUGUUUCAGAUGCCGUCAUGUUAUGGAUGACACUGGCAGGGACCCCAAGGGAUGAGACCUAUCUCUGCUGGAGAACGUUGGGCAUCUUAAUAGAUAAGAUAAUGAAGCGAAGCCUUAACAGCAAACACUCAUUAAACUUUAACGAUUUCUAUCUACCCUCGUCCCACAAGCAGCUUCCACACAUGCCUCUGCGCAGCUGUGGCCUCAGGACUGAGGCGCAGUGUAGACCGUGUUCAUCGGAACGGCGUUGGAUGACUUUAUUGACCAACUCGGCUCAGCUUUUCUAAGGGGAAAAGCUCUGUUCGUACCAAAGGCUUCUCCAGGCCCUUCCCCAACACCUCUGAUUAAACAGGCUGAGCUCCCCAGAGAACAAUCCGCACCAGGAUGCAGCGAAGCCCAGCAGUGGUCUUUCCUGAUGCUCUGGUCCUCCUCGCCCUGCCCGCUGACGGAUGACUCCGCUCCGUGACUUUACUGAACUCCAGUUCGCCCACCUCCCCACACUCGUGUCCUCAGCUGUAAGCAGGCGCACUUGUGACCUGGGAGAGAACCCAAACCAACACCGACCCUGACCCCUGACAGGAGUGUUAGACUCGCAGCAGAGUCAGAUGGGAGCUGCAGGGCAAGGCUCCCCUUACAUGUGGUCUGAACCCAGGGGAGUUCACCUCACUGAGUUAAACUCGAUGCGCUGUGACUGCCGGGCCAUGGUGCUUUGUAUCUGACUCCCAAGGGACUCUCCCUCAAGUGACUGCAAGCUCCUUGGGCACUUUUCUAUUUUGGCAUCCCCUGGGAUCAUGCAGAGCACAGAGGGAUGCUCAGGCAGAAAGCACCUUGUGUCUCUGUGUCACCUUUUGGUUAAAAGGACUUUAAAAGUCAUGUUCUGGGAUGGCCUGCUUUGUACCUACCAGAGAGCAGGGUUUGCAGAGUCAGGCAACUUUAGGGGUCUGCUUACACUCUAACCUGAUCAGGGACCUGGUUGCUAAGCGACCUUUCAAUGGAGAUUAGUGAUAACAAACUCAGCAAAGAGCUGAGGCUUGAGAAAGGAAU
rnacentral:lncRNA from 1 species